rnacentral:rRNA from 1 species
CAGCUCUCCGAGUAGUGUAGACGUUUAUUGGGCCUAAAGCAUCCGUAGCUUGCUAGAUAGGUCCUCUGUUAAAUCCACCGAUUCAAUCGUUGGAUUGCGGGGGAUACUGUUUGGCUAGGGGACGGGAGAGGUCGACGGUAUUUCCGGGGUAGGGGUGAAAUCCUAUAAUCCCGGGAGGACCACCAGUGGCGAAGGCUGUCGACUAGAACGCGCCCGACGGUGAGGGAUGAAAGCUGGGGGAGCGAACCGGAUUAGAUACCCGAGUAGUCC